rnacentral:tRNA from 1 species
GUGUGUGUAAUUUAAAAAAAAUAUCAAGUUGUGACCUUGAAAAUAGACGCCCUCACAUACC